GGUCCAUCCUACACUAGAGUCUAGAAAGAAAAAAAAAAAAAAAGACAAACUACAUUGCCGACACUCGCCUCCAACUCAGAAUCAAAUGUGGUUUGGGCCCAUCAAUCAGCAUCACUCACAGGAAUCCUGAAUUCAGAUUCAAGUCCACAGAGGAAGAAGCACGCGAGUCUGAAGCUGCCAUUCUGCUGAUACAAGUUAGUGAACAACUCACUCUGGAUCCGACCAUUCUGGCCACAGCUGCCCACUGCUGCCCCAGGGCUCAGCCUUGGUCUGGGACAUGAGAGUUUUCAUUCUCGGCUUCCCACUUGUGGCAGAAAGCACUUCCCCUUAGUUGAUCCUGCAGUAUUGUGGCAGGUUCCGUUCCUGGAGACCUAGCCCGCAGCCUUCUUCAGCCCUUCAGCAGUUUUUGAGCAUGUCCACCCUACAGGAGUCCCUGCACACUACAGUGUCUAGGCAGACGGAUCCUGCUACCUGCAACUGCACCUUGGCCAAUGUGGAAGUCAUGAGCUGGUGGAACCUGCAGGACUUCCAGGUGUGUGGAAUCCAAAUGCAGGAAAUGGAGAACAGACAGCUCUUCCCCUGUCCCAGGAGGUGCUGUUUUAAGUGCGUUGCAAGAAGCAGGAUCAGUGGAAACCAAAAGAACAAAGGAGACGUUCAGUUUGCUUUGCACAUACUGCAUUUUACGCGCUUGCUGGGGGAACUCGGGGUGGCACAGUUUUGCACGGAUCCUGCUAGGAAAGACCUUGCAGCUACAACUAAUUUCAAUUUUCCCCGUGAUUCUUACCACGGCUUACCAGGCUCUGUGAUUUUUCUCCUUCUCUGAAUUAUUCUGGAGAAGCCGAAUCACUAUAAUUAAUCGUCACACGGCACUAAUGGGGCAUGACUAUGUACUGGGCUUUGUUGUGAAUGAUUUCUAGAGGUUCCCUCAUUUAAUCCUCUUGACAACCCAUGACAUGGGUGGAAUUAUUAUUCCUGUUCUCAGAUUAGAAAACAGAAGCACACAUAAAUUAAGCAGUGUGUCCAAGGUCACAGCGCUGGUAAGCACUGGGCUGAAACUGACCCAGGUGGUCUGGCUCCAUGGUCCAUGUCCUUGGUCCUCUGAUGGGACAUGAUAGUCCUUAUGUCAAGUUUGGACCCAACUUGAGAAAGAUGGGAUUGGCAAACCAACCUGAAAACGCUUUGCUCUGGAUAAAACAAUAAAGGCUCAAAAGAGGCCAACUGACUUCUCAAGGCAGCCGAAUCUCAAUCUCCAAUGUCCAGGUUCACUGCUGUUUCCACUACACCAUGUUGUCACUGCAAAUUCAGCAUGAAGAAACCCGAGUACCAAAGCAUGUCACAAGAGGCAGGUGUCAAGUUUCAAUUAAACUUUGGAGGGUUGUGUAACAACUAAUUAAAAUUCGUUUUUCAUUUUCCUCCAAAGAAAUGCUUACUCCUCUGAUCCAGAGGGGAAGAAACUACCAGAAGC